CAGAGUCUUUUGACGCCAGGUGUGCUGGUAAUCAGACGCAGACGGGAGAUCAGGAAACCAGCCCAGAGCACAGACACAUCCACACUUACACACCAGGACAGACAAAGGACAGCCAGAAAACACGAGGAGAGACAGAGACCUGGCUUCAUCACAACAUAAAGCUAUUGCACUUGAUGGACGGUCCGUGUUCCGGCCCGACAGAAUGCAAGACUCCGGUAAGAGCUGUUGCUGUGGUAGCGACUUGUCAAUCACAAGGCUGUCCAGUUCCAGUCCGACCACAGAGCUGAUGCCACCACCCCAGCACACCACAGCAAAGAACAGUGAGCUACCAGUGGCCGGUGAUCUGCAGGAGCCUGUUGCACACACUGAAGGCUCUGACACCGGGGACACACAGGAGGCGGAAGCGCCGCGCUAGCUCAUUUCUCCAGCGAGCAGCAGCCUGGAUGUUCGCACCAGAAGCGCGUUUCUCCGCGCCGGUCAUCAAGCGCUUCUGCUCCUCUGCACUUUUCUAAUCAAAGUAAAGAGCUGAUCUUUAUAAUAACCUCAUGAAUUUAGAACUUACAGCUUUUUAUGUGUUUCUGUGGAGCGUCGCUUCUUCUGCAACAAUGAAGUCUAAAGGAUCGUGUGAUGAUCUGCUGGGAGGCACACACACACGCGCGCGCACGCACACGCACACACGUCUGCUCGUCUCUCUAAAGACAACUAACUAAUGUGUGGAAUAAGUACGUAAUUUAAAAAACAAUCACAAACAGCAGAUCUUGAUAUUUUAUGGGGGGGGAAAUCCCUCCACAUACGUAUGACUGUCACCAUCCAUUUAGCUUAGAUUCUUUUGAACAUGCAAAACUGGAUCAGAAAUGGAUCCAUUGAGAAUUAAAACAUACAUGUAGCAAAAUGUCCUAAAUGGUUUGGGGCUCAAAAUAAAACUCCAGGGUAUAAACAGCAAAAGACUGUUAAUCAACAUGUACAAAUCUGAAAAGAUCAAUCCAACAGACAUAGAAAAAGGCCAAGUUAAAGGCAGAAUGUGCCUUUUGAACCGAUUUCUGUUUGUUAUGGCGAGGCAAUACAACUGGCCUGCAUUUCUGUGGCCAACCUGUGAGAUUUAUGUGAGUGGUCAGGGCACACUUCCUCUUUGAGAUGACCAUUUCAGGUCUCAUUGCAGGCAGAGGGCAGAGGCAUUUUCCACCUGUGAGAGAUUCUCACCAAGAAAGUUAAUUCCAUCCAAAAGAGGAUUCAUUGUGGAGCAUGAUUUUUUUCCAGCACGAGUCCACCCUUGACUCCACGGGUCAAAGCUGUUUCUACACGUCAAAAUCACAGCACAGGCACCACUUGCAGCUGAGGAACCAUCUAAAAUCGAAUCUAAUAAGAGCUGAGGAUUUGGUAACACUUCACUUCAAAUGCUAUCACGCUGACCCAGUGCUGCUGUCAUCAGCACUGCCUAUAUGAGCGACAGGGCAGUGAGCACUACUGUAAUCUGAGGAUGGGGUGAAAUGGCUGUGAGUUUAUAAAUGUAGCCUGACUCAGAGUCAUGUCCCCAGUCUCAACCCCUGCUCCUUCCCCUCAAGAGAGGCCCCGCACAUGUUACCUCUGUUUGCCCCGACCAUCCGUCAGACCAGACCCACACUGUGCUUUCGUAAUGGACCAGAUGAGCUCAGCCAGGUCCCUGACUCUCCUCUCCCUCACAGGCAUUUGACCUGAGGGAGGAUCAUGCCAAGGGGGUUUGUGCUGGGGUCAAGUGUCUCUGUGGCAUUUUUAUUCUAGUGGUAAGUUUGUUUCUUUUAACCAUGACCACAGUUCCCAAACCUUAACCAAUGACUUGUGCGGUCAUACAUGUUUUGUAAAACACAGACAAACAAUGUGGUGCUGUUUGGAGCACCAGAUUUUGGAAGGCCGUGAGAAAUGAUCUGUUUUCCCUUUUGGGUGAACUUGUUGAAACUGCUGCACCAUUAAACAACAAUGUAACCUAUGAUGAAGAAUACAUGAAGAAGUGACAAAAAAUAGCACCAUAGCAUGCUUUAGUAAAGUGGUCAGCAGUAAUGUAAAGUAUGUGUGAUUUGUGAGCUAAAACAUGCAAAACACUGGUAUGGUCCUUUAAAGUUGAGGUAACUCAAGUGUAAAAUCCAAAGCAGGAGUCUCUUGACUCCAUCGAAGGUCUCUGACUGUGAAGUGCAUAGGUUAAACCUUUUCAUAGUGCAGCCAUUAGUAAAGUGUAAUAUGUCAGGAGGUGGACCUGGAACAAAAAGGGCACAGGUUUGAUCCCUACACCAUGUAUAAAGCUCCAGUGUGUUUUCGGGCUCUACGUGUUUAGUCUGGUGUUGCUCUGAAUAAAAGCAUCUGUAAAAUGUGUCAAAUGUAGAGACAAUCCUGGAUGGUGUGAUGAUGUGAUCAUCCUGAGAGGAAUUCAAAUAUCUUUCUACACUUGUAAAAGCCUCUGAACUAUAAGAAAACCUCCACCUUGAACCCUUGAAAUAUGCAUGGGUCUUUUCAUCAUGGAGCAGGCGACACAGUGCCUAAACAAGCCUCACAUUUCAGUCCCUUAGCCUCGCUGUGAUUGGCCUGGCAGCCUGACUGUUUGUGACAGAUACAGCCAAACACAGCGGCCUGCUAAUCAAAGUCGUAUGUGUGUUCUGAGAGUUUGGCUUCAACUCUGACCUUUAAUUUCUCAUUAAUUUAUGCUGACAUACAAUAUCCCAUUUGUCAGCGCUAAGUCAAGGCACAGCUUUCCACAUGUGGGAGUAAUUAAGUAACAUGUUAGAUGCUAAUUUCAAACCCAAUUCAAGCUACAGUAUGUUAAGUCAAAAUCAACCUCAGUCGCUGAAAGCAAAAUGUCCAUCAAGUGUUUUUUAUUUGUUUGUGCAAUUCACAGUUUGACGUAGGUUUUCUGAUGUAAGUGCUAUACCCAAACUGGUCUGACUGUCUUAGUCACCUCUUGUAAAUGUUUUGUCAGUGUUAACUAAUGGCUUUAGUUAUGGAUAUUGAAUCAUUUACUAAUGCUUUAUAGAUCAGUUAUGAACCAUUAUUAAGCACAACUUGUGCAGAUUGUGCACAAGUGAUGUUUAUCUUCCAGCAUGACACUUGGCUUAAUUCUGAUUAGAAGUGAGAGUUUCUUUUUACUAGUCUACAAAGCAUCAGUAAAUUGCUUGUAGAUCAGUGAUUAAAACAAUGAUUAAUAAAGCCAUUUGAUACAACUUCUAAACCUUUUAUUAAGCAUGCCUUAUUAGGAUGUUGUACCUUGAAAAUACUAUAACUAGACGUAAAUAUAGAAAUAAUUAGUUGAAGUUUUUCAUUAAUUUUCUCCAGAACAUGGUGGAUUAAUCAACUACGUACUUCAGUUACAGCACAGUUUAGAUACAGUAUUUAGAUUUUUUUAAACAAAGGAAUCCACAAAAACAGUGUUAAAGGCUUCCCAAAUUGGUCAGUAAUAACACAAAGAAAGGGAGAAGUUGAAUGUUAUGUUAUAUGAAGUAGUAGAAUUUAAUCUGCUGAAUUUGUGCACAAUUACCAGCAACUAAAAACCUUAGACUGGCAGCUACUCUGGAUUGCAACACAUUUCAAGCAUUCCAGUGCUCUUCAUCAAGAGUAGCAUCAAGAGGUUUAUGUUGAUGUGACAUGAUAAUGACAUCAUACAACACAGUAGUGGAAUACUUACACUACUGGUGGUCCUUUUACAUCAAGACAUAUUAAACACAAACAAAAAACACUUUGUAAGACUAAAUCUGCAGUGUGUGCAGUUGAAAAAUGACCAAUUGACCAAUCUUCUCUCUCACGCUUUCUUUUUUAUUUUUCACUCAGUUGACGCGGUCAUAAAUUCUGGGCUGCAUAACUCUUCACAUGUUUGUUGUUGUUCUGUCUGUAAGUAAGUAAAUGUGCCGCUGCUGCCUUUUCCAUCCUCCUCAAUUGAGCUAACAUGGAUCAAUAAAAGUCAAAUAAAGGAAGAAUAAAGGCCUCUGAAUGGAAUUUAAUGGACCUCUUUGGCUUGUUUGCAGACUGCCCCUAUAAACAAUAUAACUAGUGGUCAAUUUCUCCACAUGAGGAGGGUUGGGUUGGUGGGUGGGGGUAGCAGGGUCGGGGGUUGCAGAGAUGUGCUAAGUAUAGUGUGAGGGGCUGUCAAAUAUGCUGGACAACAGUGGCAACAAAAAUGUCAGGUGAAAAACCUGGGAGGACAUGUGUCACUUUGAUUCCAGAGCAGAGGCCAGUGCUGCAAGUUCAGUGUCCAGCGUGCCUGUCUAAAUCCUCCUCUGUCUCCCCCUAAUCCGAAGGAAAACACUUAUAUCCAGAGCCAGAUGCACAGAGCUGCAGGGGAAGAAGGGUCUGGCUGACAGAAAAUACUGAUUUCUUUGUAAAACUAAGGGAGUGGGACACUAGAUGGGUGUCCAUCCACCUGUUUUUAUGCACAUAUUCAAGUUGUGCAUAAUAAAACCUGAGUGGAAAUGAAAAUUUUAAAUAUUUGGAAAAUAUUGCAGCAAAGUUUUUACACUUGACUGAGGUGGAAAAGUUGGUGUAUCGAUAAAAGCAAAAUACGACAGUGCAAUGGAAACUUAUUGAAUAAAUCAUGAUGUGCAUGAAGCAUUCUGACUUAAAAGUCCACUCAAUCCUCCACUCCACUUAAGAGAAGAAAAAUAGCGGCAGAUGAAAACAUCAAAUCAUAACAGAAUAUAGCAACUUUCACUACUGCUCAUUUUAGAAAAGCCAAACGUGAAGAAAACGUGUUCUUUGUUUAAUUAUCAAACAGACAAUGGAUCAUAGAUGUUUGUUUCUGGCUUCCAGCAUUAGCUAGCGUAGUCAGCGAGCCUUCAUUUUCCCAGGAUCGUGCCCGGUGGACAGAGAAGGACGGACGGUAGGUUUGUUUCUUUGUGUCGAACCUCCCCCUUCUCCUAAGAAAAAGAUGAUUAGCCAAAUUAAAAACUGAUUGAUAACUGGUUCAGGCUGCUUAUUGGUGAAAUUCAUUUUUGAUUGACAGAGGACUGUAAGCCUCUGAUUGGCCAAAUUAAAAAAUUAUUGACAGAUAGCCCGCCCAUUCAAAGUCUCCAGAGUCUGCAGAGAUACCCUAUUCAAAGAAAGGGCUACCUAAAGCCAGCCAUAUCCACAGAUUACCAUAAAUAACGUUACAUGAAACACCACCACACAAAGUAACCUAAAUCUAUAGCUACUGUAUGGCUACAUGUUGCUAAAUGAAUUCAUUACUCUAUCAUGAAAGAUUCAUCACUUGAUAUGACUAAGUCUGAGUCUCAUUCCACUCGACCAUGAAAUAUGCAAGUUGUGCAACGAACUGGCAACCACUGAAAUGGAAUGAAAGGGGGGAGGGGGGUGCGUCCUCUAGUGGCUG